rnacentral:rRNA from 1 species
UACGUAUGGUGCAAGCGUUAUCCGGAUUUACUGGGUGUAAAGGGAGCGCAGGCGGUACGGCAAGCCUGAUGUGAAAGCCCGGGGCUCAACCCCGGUACUGCAUUGGAAACUGUCGGACUAGAGUGUCGGAGGGGUAAGUGGAAUUCCUAGUGUAGCGGUGAAAUGCGUAGAUAUUAGGAGGAACACCAGUGGCGAAGGCGGCUUACUGGACGAUUACUGACGCUGAGGCUCGAAAGCGUGGGGAGCAAACAGG